ensembl:lncRNA
GAGGACUAGCAUUUUCUCCUCACUUCUGCAGAAAGGGUUGCUUCUCUGGCAGCUGCCAGGCUCUGGAGGCAGAGUGACCCAAGUCAGGGAUGAAUGAAUAUCCACUUCAGCUUGGUGGUGUGUGAAGAGAGAAGCUUCCCCCCAUGUAGUGGCAACCUCAGCCCUGAACGCACAGUGGGGCAGCAGGGAUGUGUAAUUCACACAGAGUGCCUGCUUGGUAGUGACAGAGCUUGACACACAUAGCUGUUGCUAUCCUGAUGGGCAUCUGUCAAGGAAACGCAAGCCCGGUGGCUGCUGUCAUAAUUGAAGUGUCCAGAGGAUCCUAAAUUGCCCUGAUGCUGGGAAAGAUUGAGGGCAGGAGGAGAAGGAGGCGACAGAGGAUGAGAUGGUUGGAUGGCAUCACUGACUCAAUGGACAGGAAUUUGAGCAAGCUCCGGGAGAUGAUGAAGAACACAGAAGCCUGGUAUGCUGCAGCCCAUGGGGUUGCAAAGAGUUGGACACAACUGAGUGACUGAACAACAAGUUGUUUAAGGCCCCAAAUCUCAAUCCACUCUGGACAGGCCAUGUGGUGCUAAUAACCUCAGUUUCCUCACUUUAACACAUUAUUGCCCAGGAAAAUUUUGCAGAAACUUUACGCCUGUGGCCAGCAAUUUGUUAUGUAAGGGAAUAUUGACACACUCUGGUCAAUGACAUUCAGGUAAUGAAAGACGUAUUAAUAUGCCUCUGGUUGUAAGUUGCUAAAAUUAGGAAUAAUGAGCCCUCCUCACCAGAUUGCUCUAAUGGUUGUAUAAGGAUUGGGGACAACUCUCGGCAUGAUGUUUAGAGCACGAGGGGGUGGAAC